UGCUUAAAGCUAGUUUAGAUAAUUUCUCGAUUAGUACCUAAAAUGUAUCACAUCAAACAAUGAGACGUGAGACCUAAUUUCAUGCCAUGAUUAUGAAGAGAUAAUUUUCUAACGUGUUAAUUAGGGCCAAAAUGUCAACACAAUGUCAACCCUCAUGACUUGUGAGGGCAAUUAAAAGACUUCUUAACGCCACCCAAUUAAUAAAGUUAAGAAGGCAAUGAUGGCCAGUCCAACUGGUCGGAGUUGCCUCCCGGGUUGGUCCCGAGUUCAAAUCCGGGCCGUUAGGUAACUCCAGGCACAUAGUUGCCUUUUCGGCCUGGCCACGGAGCUAACAGAGGCUGUGUGUGUUAACUGGUGUCUUCGGAACCAGUUGUUAAU
rnacentral:lncRNA from 1 species